rnacentral:lncRNA from 1 species
UAACCACCGACGGUAGGUAUAGACAAAUACUGUUGAUAGACGGUAUAUGGGAGCACUAUAUUGUAUGUUAACCACCGACGGUAGGUAUAGACAAAUACUGUUGAUAGAUAGAGACGGUAGACGGUAUAUACAUUGUAGGGCACUAUUGUAUGUUAACCACCGACGGUAGGUAUAGACAAAUACUGGUGAUAGACGGUAUAUAGGAGCACUAUAUUGUAUGUUAACCACUGACGGUAGGUAUAGAAAAAUACUGUUGAUAGACGGUAUAUAGGAGCACUAUAUCUUAUGUUAACCACCGACGGUAGGUAUAGACAAAUACUGGUGAUAGACGGUAUAUAGGAGC